CGAAAGCCUGACGGAGCAACGCCGCGUGAGGGAUGAAGGCCUCUGGGCUGUAAACCUCUUUUCUCAAGGAAGAAGAACUGACGGUACUUGAGGAAUAAGCCACGGCUAAUUCCGUGCCAGCAGCCGCGGUAAUACGGGAGUGGCAAGCGUUAUCCGGAAUUAUUGGGCGUAAAGCGUCCGCAGGCGGCCGUACAAGUCUGUCGUUAAAGCGUGGAGCUUAACUCCAUUUCAGCGAUGGAAACUGUAAGGCUUGAGUGUGGUAGGGACAGAGGGAAUUCCCGGUGUAGCGGUGAAAUGCGUAGAUAUCGGGAAGAACACCAGUGGCGAAGGCGCUCUGCUGGGCCAUAACUGACGCUCAUGGACGAAAGCCAGGGGAGCGAAAGGGAUUAGAUACCCCUGUAGUCCUGGCCGUAAACGAUGAACACUAGGUGUCGGGGGAAUCGACCCCCUCGGUGUCGUAGCCAACGCGUUAAGUGUUCCGCCUGGGGAGUACGCACGCAAGUGUGAAACUCAAAGGAAUUGACGGGGGCCCGCACAAGCGGUGGAGUAUGUGGUUUAAUUCGAUGCAACGCGAAGAACCUUACCAGGGUUUGACAUCCUGCGAACCUCCUGGAAACGGGAGGGUGCCUUCGGGAACGCAGAGACAGGUGGUGCAUGGCUGUCGUCAGCUCGUGUCGUGAGAUGUUGGGUUAAGUCCCGCAACGAGCGCAACCCACGUCGUUAGUUGCCAGCAUUAAGUUGGGCACUCUAGCGAGACCGCCGGUGAUAAACCGGAGGAAGGUGUGGAUGACGUCAAGUCAUCAUGCCCCUUACAUCCUGGGCUACACACGUACUACAAUGCUACGGACAAAGGGCGGCGAACUCGCGAGAGCCAGCAAAUCCCAUAAACCGUGGCUCAGUUCAGAUCGUAGGCUGCAACUCGCCUACGUGAAGGAGGAAUCGCUAGUAAUCGCAGGUCAGCAUACUGCGGUGAAUACGUUCCCGGGCCUUGUACACACCGCCCGUCACACCAUGGAAGUUGGCCACGCCCGAAGUCGUUACUCCAACCCUUGUGGAGGAGGACGCCGAAGGUGGGGCUGAUGACUGGGGUGAAGUCGUAACAAGGUAGCCGUACCGGAAGGUGCGGCUGGAUCACCUCCUAACAGGGAGACA
rnacentral:rRNA from 1 species